rnacentral:rRNA from 1 species
UACGAAGGGGGCUAGCGUUGCUCGGAAUUACUGGGCGUAAAGCGCACGUAGGCGGCUUGUUAAGUCGGGGGUGAAAUCCUGGAGCUCAACUCCAGAACUGCCUUCGAUACUGGCGAGCUCGAGUUCGGGAGAGGUGAGUGGAACUGCGAGUGUAGAGGUGAAAUUCGUAAAUAUUCGCAAGAACACCAGUGGCGAAGGCGGCUCACUGGUCCGGUACUGACGCUGAGG